rnacentral:rRNA from 1 species
AGAGUUUGAUCCUGGCUCAGGACGAACGCUGGCGGUGUGCUUCACACAUGCAAGUCGAGCGAAUGAAGUAGGUAGCUUGCUACUUAUGGAUUUAGCGGCGGACGGGUGAGUAAUAUAUAGGAAUCUGCCUUAGAGCGGGGAACAACAGACCGAAAGGUCUGCUAAUGCCCCAUAGGUAUGCAGUCUUCGGAUUGUAUAUUAAAGGAGUAAUCCACUUUAGGAUGAGCCUGUAUCCGAUUAGCUUGUUGGCGGGGUAAUGGCCCACCAAGGCUACGAUCGGUAGUUGGUCUGAGAGGAUGAUCAGCCACAAUGGGACUGAGACACGGCCCAUACUCCUACGGGAGGCAGCAGUGGGGAAUUUUACACAAUGGGGGAAACCCUGAUGUAGCGACACCGCGUGAACGAAGAAGCCUUUUGGGGUGUAAAGUUCUGUCGGCUGGAACGAAAAAAAUGACGGUACCAGCAAAGGAAGCAUCGGCUAACUACGUGCCAGCAGCCGCGGUAAGACGUAGGAUGCAAGCGUUGUCCGGAUUUAUUGGGCGUAAAGAGUUCGUAGGCGGUUAUUUAAGUCUGAUGUUAAAUACUGUGGCCCAACCACAGAACUGCAUUGGAUACUGGAUGACUUGAGUGCGGUAGAGGCAAGUGGAAUUCCCAGUGUAGCGGUGAAAUGCGUAGA